AAGUCGUAACAAGGUUUCCGUAGGUGAACCUGCGGAAGGAUCAUUAACACUUUUUCAAAAACUCCUUUUUUCUUUUGGCUCAAACCAAAAGAUUUAAGGUUUUAACCCCAAUUUAUUGCGAACGAUGAUUUUCCAAAAUCAUUUUUCUCUUCUUUAUCCUCUUUUUUUUUUACCCCAAUUUUUAAAAAAUCAAAAGCCUGAUAUAAAUCGUUUUCUCUUUUUUUUCAAAAAGAGUUUUAACGACCGAAACCUAAUGGUUAAAACAACUCUUAGCAACGGAUAUCUUGGCUCUC
rnacentral:misc_RNA from 1 species